AUACACAGUCAUAUCACCCUGGAGCCCGAGACCAUACUCGCUGAAGCUAAGCAGUGCUGAGCCUGGUCAGUAUCUGGAUGGGAGACCACAUGGGAAAACUAGGCUGCUGUUGGAA
rnacentral:rRNA from 1 species